rnacentral:rRNA from 1 species
GACGAACGCUGGCGGCGUGCUUAACACAUGCAAGUCGAGCGGUAAGGCCCUUUCGGGGGUACACGAGCGGCGAACGGGUGAGUAACACGUGGGUGACCUGCCCUCAGCUCUGGGAUAAGCCUGGGAAACUGGGUCUAAUACCGGAUAUGACUCCAUGACGCAUGUUGUGGGGUGGAAAGCCUUGUGCGGCUGAGGAUGGGCCCGCGGCCUAUCAGCUUGUUGGUGGGGUGANGGCCUACCAAGGCGACGACGGGUAGCCGGCCUGAGAGGGCGACCGGCCACACUGGGACUGAGACACGGCCCAGACUCCUACGGGAGGCAGCAGUGGGGAAUCUUGCGCAAUGGGCGAAAGCCUGACGCAGCGACGCCGCGUGAGGGA